rnacentral:rRNA from 1 species
GACGAACGCUGGCGGCGUGCUUAACACAUGCAAGUCGAACGGAAAGGCCCUGCUUUUGUGGGUUGCUCGAGUGGCGAACGGGUGAGUAACACGUGAGUAACCUGCCCUUGACUUUGGGAUAACUUCAGGAAACUGGGGCUAAUACCGGAUAGGAGCUCCUGCUGCAUGGUGGGGGUUGGAAAGUUUCGGCGGUUGGGGAUGGACUCGCGGCUUAUCAGCUUGUUGGUGGGGUAGUGGCUUACCAAGGCUUUGACGGGUAGCCGGCCUGAGAGGGUGACCGGCCACAUUGGGACUGAGAUACGGCCCAGACUGCUACGGGAGGCAGCAGUGGGGAAUAUUGCACAAUGGGCGGAAGCCUGAGGCAGCAACGCCGCGUGCGGGAUGACGGCCUUCGGGUUGUAAACCGCUUUCGCCUGUGACGAAGCGUGAGUGACGGUAAUGGGUAAAGAAGCACCGGCUAACUACGUG